rnacentral:rRNA from 1 species
UACGUAGGGGGGCAAGCGUUGUCCGGAUUUAUUGGGCGUAAAGAGCGUGUAGGCGGCCAUACAGGUCAGCUGUGAAAACUCGAGGCUCAACCUCGAGACGUCGGUUGAAACCGUAUGGCUAGAGUCCGGAAGAGGAGAGUGGAAUUCCCGGUGUAGCGGUGAAAUGCGCAGAUAUCGGGAAGAACACCCGUGGCGAAGGCGGCUCUCUGGGACGGUACUGACGCUGAGACGCGAAAGCGUGGGGAGCGAACAGGG